rnacentral:rRNA from 1 species
AGAGAUGUGUGAUGACGCAUAUCAAUAAGCGGAGGAAAAGAAACUAACAAGGAUUCCCUUAGUAACGGCGAGUGAAGCGGGAAGAGCUCAAAUUUGAAAUCUUCAAGGGUUCUACCUUGACGAAUUAUAGUUUAAGAAGUGUUUUCUGUUAGUAGAGGUGGCUAAAAGUUCUUUGGAAUAGGACAUCAUAGAGGGUGAGAAUCCCGUAUUUGAUCACUUCUUUCUAACGCUUUGUGAUACACUUUCAACGAGUCGGAUUGUUUGGGAAUGCAGUCCAAAAUGGGUGGUAGAUUUCAUCUAAAGCUAAAUAUUGGCGAGAAGACCGAUAGCGAACAAGUACCGUGAGGGAAAGAUGAAAAGAACUUUGAAAAGAGAGUUAAACAGUACGUGAAAUUGUCAAAAGGGAAGCGUUUGACACCAGUGUUGUUUUUCCGAAAAUCAAUUACGAAUGUUUUGUUUUUUGAGGAGUUAUGACUUCAUCGGCUUGCUCCUUUCUUUACGAAACUUUCUUAAUGCACUUUUCGGUUAACAAGUCAACAUCAAUUUCUUUUGUUGUAAAAGGGUAUGAGGAAGGUGGCUUUCUUUUCGGAGAAAGUGUUUAUAGCCUUAGUGCCUCUGCAAUCGGAGAGAUUGAGGUCUGCAGCGUAGAUCCUUCGGGGUUAGAUACAUUUGUGCUAAGUUAUAGCUUUUCAUAGACAACUUGUUGACUAUGUUUAGUCUUGUAGCUUACUCGCUUAUGCUAUUUUACCUACGCUUAGGAUGUUGAAGUCAUCGUAUCGCGC